UAAAUUAAAUAUCAGCUACGCACUGGGAUCGAUGUAAUCAACUUAAUCCGUUUGUCUGCCUUGUUUGUCCCCUCUAUGUUUAGCCCCUUGUGGGUAAUAAAGAAACAGGAAUUUUGUACGUCUUUACGUUUUGAGUUCAAAUUCUGCCGAGGUCGACUUUGCCUUUCAUCCUUUCAGGGUCGAUAAAUUAAAUUUCAGCUACGCACUGGGAUCGAUGUAAUCAACUUAAUCUGUUUGUCUGUCCUUGUUUGUCCCCUCUAUGUUUAGCCCCUUGUGGGUAAUAAAGAAACAGGUAUUUCGUACGUCUUUACGUUCUGAGUUCAAAUUCCGCCGAGGUCGCCUUUGCCUUUCAUCCUUUCGGGAUCGAUAAAUUAAGUACCAGCUACACACUGGGGUCGAUGUAAUCGACUUAAUCCAUUUGUCUGUCCUUCUAUUUCAUCUGCUUUUAUGUUCUGAGUUCAAAUUCUUCCAAGGUUGACUUUGUUUUUCAUCCUUUCGGGGUUGAUAAAUUAAGCACCAGUUGCAUACUGGGGUCAAUCUAAUCAACUGGCCCCCUCCCUAAAAAAAUCAUCUCUUGUGCCUAGAGUAGAAAAAAAUAAUAAUCCUUUCUAUUAUAGGCACAAGGCCUGAAAUUUUGGGUCAGAAGCUAGUCAAUUACAUUGACCCAGUGCAUGACUGGUACUUAUUUUAUUGACCCCGUAUAGAUGGAUGAAAUGCCGCCAAGCAUUUUGCCUAGCUUACCUUGGAACAGGGCCAGCUAUGUUGACCAGAUUGAUCUCAGUGUUCAACUGGUACUUAUUUUAUCAACCGCACCCCCCCCUAAAGAUGGACCCCUUAAAGGUGGACGAAACACUGCAAAGCAUUUUGCCCAGUUUGCCUUGGGACAAGCCCAGCAAGUUUGUGGGAGUGGCUAAGUUGAUUAGAUUGAUCCCAGUGCUCAACUGGUACUCAUUUUGUUGACCCUGAGAGGAUGAAAGGUAAAUUAGACCUCAACGGAAUUUGAACUUAGAACUUAAAAAUAGUCGAAACACCACUAAGACUUUUUGUUUAGGGUUCUAAUAGUUCUGCCAGUUCAUUGCUCUUAUAAUAAUAAUAAUAAUAAUAAUAAUAAUAAUAAUAAUGAUAAUAAUAAUAAUGAUAAUAAUAAUAAUGAUAAUAAUAAUAAUGAUAAUAAUAAUAAUAAUAAUAAUAAUAAUAAUGAAAAUAAUAAUAAUAAUAAUAAUAAUGAAAAUAAUAAUAAUAAUAAUAAUAAUAAUAAUAGUACAACACAAAAAACAACCAAAUAUAUGGCACACUAGGCAUAACAACAACGUGAACUUCCAACCUGUUGUCUCUUGAGGUCUCCGGGUGAGACUUGGAACCAACUUGUACAAAUAUAAAGCAAAAGUCAAACAUAUAAUAAUAAUAAUAAUAAUAAUGCUUUCAAAUUUUAUGGUGGUGAGCUGGCAGAAAUGUUAGAACACCGGGCAAAAUGCUUAGUGGUAUUUCGUCUGUUUUUACAUUCUGAGUUUAAAUUCCGCCGAGGUCGACUUUGCCUUUCAUCCUUUUGAGGUCAAUAAAUCAAGUACCAGUUGCAUACUAUGGUCGAUCUAAUUGACUGGCCCCUUCCCACAAAAUUUCAGGCCUUGUGUCCAGAGUAGAAAUGAACGAAUGCUUUCAAAUUUUGGCACAAGUCCAGCAAUUUCGGGGGAAGAUGAUAAGUCAAUACAUUGAUCCCCCAAUGCACAGCUGGUACUUAUUUCAUCGACCUCCAGAAGGAAGAAAAGCAAAGUCGACCUCAGUGAAAUUUGAACUCAGAAUGUAAAAACAGAUAAAAUUCCACUAACUUAAAGAUGGUGCUCCAGUAUAGCCGCAGUCACAUGACUGAAAAAAUAAGCAUUUUACCUGGCAUGUUAAUGAUUCCACCAGGUAACUUAUUGUAUGGUAAUUAUAAUAACAAUUGUUAUUAAGAUAGUGUGCUCGUUGUCUUAAUUAAUUGUAUAUUGAGCAAAAUGCUUAAUGGUGUUUCUUCCUUUGUUCUCCUUUCUUUCGUGGUGCAAAUAUGUCUGGUCAUGGGGUACUAUUUACAUUGCUUGAAAAACGAGUGAGGGUGGGUGACAGGUAGAGCAUCCAGCCGUGAAAGAAAAAAACGAAAGAUCACCCUGCACAAAAAGCCCAUCUGACCCAUGUCAGCACAAAAGAUGUGGUCAUUAAAUUGAUGUUGUUGUUGCUGCUGCUGCUGCUGCUGGUGAUGAUGAUGAUGAUGAGGAGGAGGAGGAGGAGGAGGAGGAGGAGGAUGGUUAUGACAAUGAUGGUGAUGAUGAUGAUGAUGAUGAUGAGGAUGGUGGUGAUGGUGGUGAUGAUGAUGAUGAUGGUGGUGAUGGUGAUGGUGAUGAUGAUGGUGGUGAUGGUGAUGGUGAUGAUGAUGGUGGUGAUGGUGAUGAUGAUGAUGAUGAUGGUGAUGAUGAUGAUGGUGAUGAUGAUGAUGAUUGCAUUCCAUUACAUUUUAUCAUUACCUAUUCAUUUAUUGCAUUUUUGUUUGCUUUUUAUUUAUUUUUUUUUUUUUUUUUUUUGUUAAAAAAAAAAUUCUUCGCUUUUAUAAUUCUCGAAAUCUAAUUCGGCAAGGUCUGAAGAUGAUAAUGGUGAUGGUGAUGGUGAUGGUGAUGAUGAUGGUGGUGAUGGUGAUGAUGAUGAUGAUGAUGGUAAUGAUGAUAAUGGUGAUGGUGAUGUGGAUCGGGGAGAUCUAAGGUUACCACCGUAUGUGCUAGCUUUAUUACAUAUCUUGUUUUGCAAUUAGAACAAAUUUCGGAGCAAAUUUUCUCCCAAUCAUUUGCAUUCUCCUGCUUGGAAAUGCUUGCAAUGUUCUCUCUAAAGCAAAUCAACAGAAGUGUAGCAGGUAGGUACGUAGGUAAGUAAGUAGCAGCAGCAGCAGCAGCAACAGCAGCAGCAGCAGCAGCAGCAGUAGUAGUAGUAGUAGUAGUAGUAGUGUUGUUGGUCUUUAAUAAAAUCAACAAAUAUAAUUGUUUGCAAGUUUUAUUUGGAUUCAUAUCAAAGAUAUUUUGCCAAAUUGUCUAACCACAUUAAGUAAUGCAAUCAACAUUCAUUUUUUUCAUUUCAUUAUAUUAUAUUAUAUUGUCUUUCAAGUUAUUAUUAUUAUUAUUAUUUUUUUGUUUUUAAUAUAAAACAAGAACAACAACAACAACAACAACAGCAAUAGCAACGGCAACAAUCACAACAACCACGAUAAUAACAAUAGUAAUUAUUAUAAUAAUGAUAAUAAUGAUAAUAAUGGUAAUGAUGAUCCUUUCUGUUAAAGGCACAAGGCCUGAAAUUUUUUUUUUGGGGGGGGGGGCGAAGGAAUAAGUCGAUUACAUUGAUCUCAAUGCAUAACUGGUACUUAUUUCAUUGACCUCCAGAAGAAUAAAAAGCAGAGUUGGCAUCGGUGGAAUUUGAACUCAGAAUGUAAAGAUGCUUGAAAUUACGCUAAGCAUUUUGCCCUGUGUGCUUAAUGAUUUUGCUUGCUCUUUACCUGAAUAAUAAUAAUAAUAAUAAUAAUAAUAAUAAUAAUAAUAAUAAUAAUAAUAAUAUCCUACGCAAGUGCUCAUGGGAACUGCUCAUAUCCUACGCAAAAUACUUUCUAUGUAAUCUCAAGGUUUAAAACAAACAUAAUUUUCGUUUUUCUUUUUUUUUAGACAUUCACUAGUACAACACCAAAAAAACCCAAAUAUAUGGCACACUAGGCAUAACAACAAUGUGAACUUCCAACCUGUUGUCUCUUGAGGUCUCUGGGUGAGACUUGGAGCCAACUUGUACAGACAUAAAGCAAAAGUCAAACAUAGAAUAAUAAUAGUAAUAUGCCCUGAUGCAGUACCAGACAGUGGCUCUCAUGGCUUCUGAUCUUAACUAAUUGGAAGUGUUAUCAUGUACAUUGUUUUGUCUUGGUAUAAAAGAUGGGUUUUACAGCAAAUAUUCUGCUCAAUACCACAGAUUUGCUUGUCAGUUGUUUGACCUUAACCAGUUGAGCAUGUCCCUAAGUGGCUGACGAUAUGUGCAUCUCUGAUCAUGAGCAGAUAGAUAGAUAGGUAGGUAGGUCAGUCGGUCGGUCAGUCAACAGGUAGGUAGAUAGAUGAUAGAUGCUUACAUACAUGCAUACAAAGAUACGCACAUCAAAGAAAACGUACAAAUCUGCAUACAUACAUACAUACACAACAUACAUGCAUACAAAGAAAGAUACCCUGCUGUUGAUGUUGAAAUUCCAAUGAAGGGGCCUUGGAUCUAAGUUAGAAACCAGCUCUUUCUGUAUUGGGAAGAGAUUUUGAAAUAAAACUGAAUAAUGACAUACAUGCAUACAUACAUACAUACAUACAUACAUACAUACAUACAUACAUACACUCAUACAUAUACAGAUAGAUUAAUAGAUAGAUAGAUUGAUAGAUAGAUGGAUGGAUAGAUAGAUAGAUAGAUAGAUAGAUAGAUAGACAGACGGAUUGACAGAUAGACACAGAGAGAGAGAGAGACAGAGACAGACAGGCAGACAGGCAGACAGAUAGAUACAUAGAGAGACAGAUAGAUAGAUAGAUAGAUAGAUAGAUAGAUAGAUAGAUAGAUAGAUAGAUAGAUAUAUAUAUAGAUAUAGAUAGAUAGAUAUAGAUAUAGAUAGAUAGAUAGAUAGAUAGAUGGAUGGAUGGACAGAUAGAUAUAUAAAUAGACAAACAGACAGACAGAUAGAAAGAUAGAUAGAUAGAUAUACUCAUGUUUGGAGUUAUAUUUUCCUGUUUGUAUUAACCACUUAUAUAUGCAUACAUACACAUACAUUUAUACAGGGAUGCAUCUGUAUGUACAGGUGUGUGUGUGUGUAUGUGUGUGUGUGUGUGUGUGUAUUCACUUUGUAACACAAGAGAAGCAUCUGCAAAGCUAUGAUAGCAAAUACAGCAAAAAGAAGUACAAAAAAAAAGCAAAAAGAAUUUAAACAAAGACAAACGAACAAAACAAAAAAAAAACAUAAAAAAGAUAGAACGGAGACACAAAAUUAACAGACAUGUCUAACAUCCUCCUCUUCUCCCGCACCUCCAUCUUUUGUUUGAUAUCUGACAACUUUUAUUUCCUUCCUUGAUCAGGAAUGGUCAAAUGUGUUUUGGAGACAUGUCCUGCAAAUUAUCUCUCGCAGAUCUGCAAACACUGACAGAAAACAAUCCAUUUAUUGUCAUCAUUCGCUUAUUCAGUUCAGUUUCUGUUGUUUUAUGUACACACACACACACACACACACACACAUGUAUAUAUAUGUAUGUAUAUAUAUAUAUAUAUAUAUAAACAUAGGUAUAAAUGCAUAUAUGCAUAUAUCUAUGCAUAUAUCUAUAUAUCUAUGUAUAUCUAUCUAUCUAUCUAUCUAUCUAUCUAUAUAUAUAUAUAUAUAUAUAUAUAUAUCUGUGUGUGUGUGUGUGUGUAUAUAUAUAUAUAUAAGUCAGUAAAUGGUGGAAUUCUGUUAACCGCAUGUGGAGAAAUGAUAGGAAAGGAAAAAAUAAUAAUAAUAAUAAUAAUAAUAAUAAGUUUCAGUUUAGCAUUCUUCUUAUUAUUGUUUUUGCCUUUCCUCACUCUCUCUCUCUCUCUCUCUCUCUAUAUAUAUAUAUAUAUAUAUAUAUAUAUAUAUAUAUGCAGGGUGUGGUGAAUAUAUUGUCGUCUAAAUUACGCAAAAAUGUAAAUAACACUGACAUCUCAUUUUAACAGAUAUAUUUGCCAAAAUUACAUAAAAGUAUCUUGAAAUACUAACGAGUAAAUUUAUACAGUAAAAUCGCUAUUGGCUUCAACCACGGCCUUCAGAUGACUUCGGAAUCUCCUGCAACUCUUCUGGACAGUCCCCUUGUUUAAGUUGUUGAAUGCUGCCAUAAUCCUUUCCUUCGGUUCAUCUUUGGUGUUACAAAGAGUUUUGUUGGUCUCUCACUCAACUGUCUAUGUCUUCGUAUCCAUGUUUGUCUCCACACCUUUGCUUGACAACCAAUGUUAGUGUGUUUACGUCGCCGUAACUUAGCAGUUCAGCAAAAAGUUAGUCCUGGGGUUGAUUUCCUUGACUAAAACCCUUCAAAGGUGGUGCUGCAACAUGGCCGCAGUCAAAUGACUGAAACAAGUAAAAGAAUAAAAAAAUAUAUGGAUUUAUCAUCACCAUCAUUAUCAUCAUCAUCAUCAUCAUUUAACGUCCAUUGUCCAAGCUGGCAUGGGUUGGACAGUUUGACCGGUGCUGGAGAGUUGCACCAGGCUCCAGUCUGAUUUGAGGGCUUUCGUGUGGUUCUGCAUGAGCGCUUGUAUGUGGCACCGGCAUGAGUGCAUAUAUAUAUAUAUCUCAUCAUCAUCGUUUUAAUGUCUACUUUCCAUGUUGGCAUGGGUUGGACGAUUUGGCUGAAACCUGGUAAGCCAGGAACUGCACCUUGUUCCAAUCUGAUCUGGCAAGGUUUCUACAGCUGGAUGCUCUUCCUAGUGCCAACCACCACGAGAGUGUAGUGGGUGCUUUUUUACAUGCCAUCAAUAUAUAUAUAUAUAUAUAUAUAUAUAUAUAUAUAUAUAUAUAUACAUAUACACACACACACAUUAUACCCAUUUUUAUACUCUUACUGUUAUCAUUAUUAUUAUUAUUGUUAUUGUAUUUUUUACUAUUGCUUUGUUUUUUCUUUUCUCUAUUUUUCUUUCCAUUUUUGUCCCAAAUCCUUCCUUCUUUCUUUCCUUCCUUCUUUCUUUCCUUCCUCCAUUCUUUCCUUCCUUCUUUUCCUCCUUCGUAUUUCCUUCCUUCUUUUCUUCAUUCAUUCAUUCUUUCCUACCUUCUUUUUAUGCCUUCGUUUUCCCUUCCUUUCUUUUUCCUUUCCUUAUUUUUUCCUUCUUUUUAAAUUCUUUCUUCCUCCCAGUCAUUCAUUCAAUCCUUUUUAUCAUUUCCUUAUUCUUCCUUUAUUCCACUCUGUCCUUCAUUCACUGACUAGUUUCACCCUUUAUUUUUUUCAUUCUUUCAUUCUCUCAUUCCUUCAUUCUUUUUUCCCUUCAUCUCUUCCAAACAUUCAUUCAUUAUUCUUUCAUUCUCCCUACCUCAUAAUCUAUCUCACUUUCUCUCUCUUUCACUCUUUCUUUAACCUCUUUCUUUUCCAUUCACUCUCAUUCAUCCUUUCAUACAUCCCUUCAAACACAUUUCUAGCUUUUGCACUGUUCCAUUAACUCUCUUUGACUUGUUUUCCUUAUUAGGAGAUAUUCUUUCAUAUCUCUAUGGAUGCGCAAUCAUUAUCAAGGACUUUGUCAACCACUUUUUUUCCUCUUCUAGAACAGUCUUCCCAUAUCUUCCGUCAUUUAAAUUCCCAAGUUUGAAUCUAUCAGAACAGAGAUGGUUGCUGUUAGCAUUCAUUAUAUCUUCUGUUCUUUGCUAAACUCAGGUCAACCUAGGUCAAACAUAACUAAUGAUCAAAGCCUUCCAAGAAAUCAAUUCAGCAUUUUUCUCCAAACAUUGAUUACCCAGGACCACAUUAUCCAAUGUGUUUUUUAACCUAAAACUGUUACUUUAAUACGAGGCCCAGAUAAAAUGCCAAGUCUAAUUUGUGGGAGAUUUGCCUGCUAUUUCUAGCAGCUUGUGUGGUCACGUCCAGUGUUUUCUGGUCGUUGUUACUGCUUCCUCCAAAGUCAUCUCUGAUUCAGCAAACAUUUGAACAAAGGAUGAAAGACAAAGUCGACCAUGGCGGAAUUUGAACUCAGAACACGAAGACGGAUGAAAUACUUCUAAGCACUUUUCCCGGUGUGCUAACAGUUCUGCCAGCUCACUGGCUUGCUAUACUCUCUUUACUUACUCGUUUCAGUCAUUUGACUGCGGCCAUGCUGGAGCACCGCCUUUAGUGGAGCAAAUCGACCCCGGGACUUAUUCUUUGUAAGCCCAGUACUUAUUCUAUCGGUCUCUUUUGCCGAACCACUAAGUGACGGGGACGUAAACACACCAGCAUCGGCUGUCAAGCAAUGCUAGGGAGACAAACACAGACACACAAACACACACACAUACAUAUAUAUAUAUACAUAUAUACGACAGGCUUCUUUCAGUUUCCGUCUACCAAAUCCACUCACAAAGCAUUGGUCGGCCCGAGGCUAUAAAAGAAGACACUUGCCCAAGGUGCCAUGCAGUGGGACUGAACCCGGAAACAUGUGGUUGGUAAGCAAGCUACUUACCACACAGCCACUCAUGUGCCUAUGGGUAGAAAUAUUAACAGACUGGACAGUGAAUUGAAGAGAGUGGGAUGAGAGACUGUGGUUGAGUAAAGACGAAGAUAAAAUUUAGAGGCAAAUACAACCAAAUUUAAGCUGUCAAUUUACACACACACACAUACACACAAAUAUAUAUAUAUAUAUAUAUAUAUAUAUAUAUAUAUAGCAUGUACAAAAUUUAAAUUUAAAUUAUUUAAAAAAAAAUAUAAAUCUUUGGACUUUUUACAAAUAUGCUAGACCACUGGUUUUAAUUGAUUAAUAUCAAUUUCUACCCUUAUUUAAUUUUAUAUAGCCUGUAUAUAUGUAUGUAUAUGUAUAUGUAUGUAUAUAUUUAUGUAUGUACAUAUUCAUGCAUUCUGUAGUUUGCCAUCCAGUUGAUAGAUUAACAUAGGUAAAAAUAGACAUGUGUGUAUGUAGAGAAAUAUAUAUGCAAAUAUAUGUGUGAGUGUGUGGUGUGUGUGUAUACGUAUACAUAUAUGUAUGUAUGUAUGUAUAUAUACACACACAUGCAUACACAUAUAUAUGUGUACAUAUAUAUAAAUGCAUACACAUAUACUUGUACAUAUAUAUAUACAUACAUGUUCAUGUACAUAUGUAUGUACAUGUGGUUGUAUAUUUAUGUAUGUGUCUAUACGUUUAUAUGUAUAUGUAUAUAUAGAUAUGACUGGAUGCUUCUCUAUGUAUGUUUAUACAUACAUGAGUGUGUGCAUAUAUAUAUAUAUAUAUAUAUAUAUAUAUAUAUAUAUAUAUAUGCAUAUGUAUGUGUGUGUGUAUGUAUUUGUAUGUGUUUACAUACACAAACACACACAUCACAUACAUGCAAAAGUUUAUAUAAGUAUUCAUAAACUCACACACACACACAACAACACAUUCACACACACACACACAACAACACACACACACACACACGUGCACACACCCUCUAAGCAACCCAUCUCCCCAGCAGCACAGAUAAACAUUCAGCUCAAAACAAGAAGCAAGGAAAGACUCGAAAGCAUUCGAGAAAGAGUUUUCUUCAUUCUGUUCAACCUUCUUCUCUUGAUCUCUUUGUUAUUUACACAUAUUUUUACCUUACUUGCAUCAGUAGUAGUAGUAGUAGUAGUAGUAGUAGUAGUAGUAGUAGUGUUGGUGGUGGUGGUAGUAGUAAUGAUGGUGAUGGUGGUGGUGAUGGUGGUGGUAAUGGUAGUAGUAGCAGUGAUGUUGGUGGUGAUGGUGGUGGUGGUGAUGGUAGUUGUGGUGGUGAUGGUGGUGGUAGUAGUAGUGAUUGAUGGUGGUGAUGGUAGUAGUAGUAGUAGUGAGGGUAGUGGUGGUGGUGGUGGUGGUGAUGGUAGUAGUAGUAGUAGAUGUAGUAGUAGUAAUAGUUGUAGUAGUAGUAGUGGUGGUGGUGGUGGUGUAGGUGUUGGUGUUGGUGUUGGUGGUGGUAGCAAUAGUAGUAGUAGUAGUAGUGUUGGUGGUGUUGUUGUUGGUGGUGGUGAUGGUUGUAGUAGUGUUGGUGGUGGCAUUGUUGUUGUUGGUGGUGGUAGUAGUAGUGGUGGUGGUAGCAGUACUUGUAGUAGUAGCUAGUGGUGGUAGUGGUGGCAGUAGUAGUAAUAGUAGUAGUAGUGUUGGUGAUGGUGAUGGUGUUAGCAGCCUUGGUAGUAGUAGUAGUGGUGGUGGUGGUGGUGGUGGUGGUGGUGGUAGUAGUAGUAGUAGUAGUCGUACCCAUCCAUUGUUUAUUUAGGAACAUACCUGUUGCAUUACCUUCUAAUGUCUUCGCAUUGGGUCGAAAUUCGAUGCAGUCUGAAGAAUGAAAGUUGAUAUUUAUUUAAACUUCAGGUCCAGGCUGAGGCAGAGAAUUUGGCUGUGUGGUUAAGACGCUUUGGUUUGGAACCAUGGGUCCUAACCAUAGCAGUUAGGAAUUGUGGCACCUGUGCCGGUGGCAUGUGUAAAAAGAUUCGAGCGAGGUCGUUGCCAGUACUGCCUGACUGGCUCCCGUACCGGUGGCACAUAAAAAGCUCCCUAUUUCUUUACUACCCACAAGGGGCUAAACACAGAGGGGACAAACGGAUUAAGUCGAUUAUAUCGACCCCAGUGCGUAACUGGUACUUAUUUAAUCGACCCCGAAAGGAUGAAAGGCAAAGUUGACCUCGGUGGAAUUUGAACUCAGAACGUAACCGCAGGCGAAAUACUGCUAAACAUUUCGCCCGGCGUGCUAACGAUUCUACCAGCUCGCCGCACGUAAAAGCACCCACUACAGUCUCGGAGUGGUUGGCGUAAGGAAGAGCAUCCAGCUGUAGAAACUCUGCCAAAUCAAGAUUGAAGCCUGGUGCAGCCAUCUGGUUCGCCAGCCCUCAGUUGUUCCUCCAACCCAUGCUAGCAUGGAAAGCGGACGUUAAACGAUGAUGAUGAUGAUGAUGAUGGUGGUGAAUUGGUUCCACUGUAUAAACACUGUCAUCUGAUCUGGUGUCUUCUAUUAUAACCGAGGGGUCACCAGCACCUUGUGACUGGCUGAUGGGCAAAAACUGAAGAAGCCAGUGUAUGCAGACGCACAUAUAUAUGUAUACUCUUACUCUUUCUCUAUUUUACUUGUUUCAGUCAUUUGACUGCGGCUAUGCUGGAGCACCGCCUUUUUAGUUGAGCAAAUCGACCCCAGGAUUUAUUCUUUGUAAGCCUAGUACUUAUUCUAUCGGUCUUUUUUGCCAAACCGCUAAGAGACAAGGACGUAAACAUACCAGCAUCGGGUGACAAACACAGACACACAAACACACACACACAUAUAUAUAUACAUAUACACGACGGGCUUCUUUCAGUUUCCGUUUACCAAAACCACUCACAAGUCAUUGGUCGGCCUGAGGCUAUAGUAGAAGACACUUGCCCAAGGUGCCAUGCAGUGGGACUGAACCUGGAACCGUGUGGUUGGUAAGCAAGCCACUUACCACACAGCCACUUCUGUGCCUAUGUAUGAAUGUUUAAGGGAAAGAAAGGUUCAUGAUAGUGGUUGAGUAUACCUUCUCCCAUUAUAAAUAUUUUCUGUCUUAAGGAUCUGGAAGGCAAAAGAAGAAGCUCACAAGUGGAUGCACGUCAAAGGGUGACAUUGGAGGUUGGCCCAGGUCUGCUGUCUUGCUGGGUGUCCUGUCAAACCGUCCAACUCAUACCAGCAUGAAAAACAGAAACGGAUGCUGAAAUUGAGCAGUGAUGAAGACGAUGACGAUGAUGAAGAUGAUGAUGACGAUGACGAUGAUGAAGAUGAUGAUGACGAUGAUGAUGAUGAUGAUGAUGAUGAUGAUGAUAAAGAGGAGGAGGAGGACGAUAAGGGUGAUGAUGAUAAUGAUGAUGAUGAUGUUGAUGUUUAUGAUGAUGAUGAUGAUGUUGAUGAUGAUGAUGAUGAUGAUGAUGAUGAUGAUGAUGAUGAUGGUGAUGAUGAUGUUUAUGAUGAUGAUAAUGAUGAUGUUGAUGUUGAUGAUGAUGAUGAUGAUGAUGUUGAUGAUGAUGAUGACAGUGAUGAUGAUGAUGAUGAUGAUGAUUAUAGUAGAAGACACUAUCAUCAUCAUCAUCAUCAUUAUCAUCAUCAUGAUAGUGGUGAUGAUGAUGACGAUGACGGCGAUGGUGAUGAUGAUGAUGAUAGCCGAUGUUAAAUUUAGCCUUAGCAGUACACAUAAUUUCGUCACAGAAAUAGCGAACAUCAGGAGUAAAAGGAAAAGAAAAAAAAAAUAUUCUUGAAUAACAGUCGUCUCCAUAUUUAACACGUCCCCUCUCGCCUCCCCCCUCCCCCCCGCCGCCUCCCGUCUUCAUGGAACUCUUAACCUCCGUAAAAUGUCCAUUAAAUAAUUCAUGCCAUUUUCAAAUCAAUAAGUUUAUCGUGUAAAAGUAUUUCCAUCUGAUAAUUUGGUUUCUAAAGAUUAGAUUGGAUUAACUGAAAAUAGAUUUAAGAAGCAAUGUGUCAUCAUCAUCAUCAUCAUCAUCGUCGUCAUGGUCAUCAUCAUCAUUUUCAUCAUCAUCAUCAUCAUCAUCAUCACCACUGCUACCAUCAUCAUCAUCGUCGUCAUGGUCAUCAUCAUCAUUUUCAUCAUUAUCAUUAUCAUUAUAGGCACAGGAGUGGCUGUGUGGUAAGUAGCUUGCUUACAAAUCACAUGGUUCCAGGUUCAGUCCCACUGCGUGCCACCUUAGGCAAGUGUCUUCUACUAUAGCCUCGGGCCAACCAAAGCCUUGUGAGUGGAUUUGGUAGACGGAAACUGAAAGAAGCCCGUCGUAUAUAUGUGUGUAUAUAUAUAUAUAUAUAUAUAUAUAUAUAUAUUUUAUUUAAUAGAAGGAGCUUCUACAGGACUAGAACUGUUUCAUUCAAGAGAAAUCUUCAGGAAGAAUGUUCUUGUUAACUAGCUUCCUGAAGAUUUCUCUUGAAUGAAACAGUUCUAGUCCUGUAGAAGCUCCUUCUAUAUAAUAAAUUAAUUUUACUCUGCUAUGUAUUGAGUACCUUAUUUACUGUGGUUAACCCCGAAUCAACCCGGGACCUACAUAUAUAUAUAUAUAUAUAUAUAUAUAUAUAUAUAUAUAUUAUAUUAAAUUAGAGAUAAAACCACUAUUAGGCAAAUCAAACAAUGAAAAACUUAAGCCAAUACAUAAAAUUAAUUAAUUUAUAUUAUUUUAAAUAUAUAUCAAAAGUAUUAAUAGUUUAAUAAAAGAUAAUGAGUAAAACACUACGAUCGUUUCAUGGCUGUCCAAUUCGUAAUAAUUCGAGUUAUGGUUACAGUCAAUCUUCAGGUAAUUGAAAUAUCUAAAGUAUAAUCAGAAAUAUUUAAACAAUAUUUUUAAGAUAUAAAUAAUAUAAUAAUUUUACUUAUAAUAAACUCUAUUAUCAAACUAGAAACAUAGAACUUAACAAUUAUGAUUAUAUCAAAAUCGACUAUAAUGUUAAAUAUUAAUUUUAAUUUAUAAGGUAGGAAACCCAUCCAUAAUUUAAUAUCGGUAUUAGUCUAUAUCUAAUUACAUAAAUAUUUAAAAAUGACUAAUAUAUAUAAAUUAUCAAUGAAAAUAUAUAAAUGUAUAUAAAUAUUAUAAUUAAGAUCUAAAAUAAUCUCUAUAAAUAAAUAUAUAUGCACAUAUAAUAAAAACCUAAUAAAUUAAUUUUUCAUAUUUAAAGAUGAAAUAGCUAAUUUCAAAAUACAAAUAAACAAACUUAAACGAACUUUCAGAAAUCAUCAUCAUCAUCGUUUAGCGUCCGUUUUCCAUGCUAGCAUGGGUUGGACGGUUCUACUGGGGUCUGUGAAGCCAGAAGGCUUCAUCAGGCCCAGUCAAAUCUGGCAGUGUUUCUACGGCUGGAUGCCCUUCCUAACGCCAACCACUCCGUGAGUGUAGUGGGUGCUUUUUACGUGCCACCCGCACAAGUGCCAGACAGCUGGCAAAUGGCCACGAACGGAUGGUGCUUUUUAUGUGCCACUGGCACGAGGGCCAGGCGAGGCUGGUAACGGACACGAACGGAUGGUGCUUUUUACGUGCCACCGGCACGAGGCCAGUCGGGGCGGCGCUGGCAAUGGUCGCGAAACGGAAGGUUCUCUUACAUGCCACCGGCACUGGUAAUACAUCUGCAAUUUCCAUUGAUCAAUUUCGAUUCUGAUCCUUAUGUAAAAUCUUAUGUAAAAUACUUUUAGAAAUAAUCAAUUCAUAGUAAUAUAGUAUUGAAUAAAUACUAUAAAUACUAUAAAUAUAAUUAUCAAUGGGAAUAACUAGCGAAUAUCAAUUUAAAGAAAUAACUAAGUUAUGCUAUUAAAUUAGACAUGGCCUGGACCAAUCUUUAGUCGAAACAUAUCUAAGUUUAUCAAAGUUUAUCUAAUUUAAUUAUAAAUUUAAAACUACAAUUAAUACUAUUAAAACAUAUAUAUAUGUAUGUGCGUGUAUGUUUGUGUGUCUGUGUUUGUCCCCCCAACAUCGCUUGACAGCUGAUGCUGGUGUGUUUACGUCCCUGUCACUAUAUAUCUAUGAAUGCAAAAGAGACCGAUAGAAUAAGUACUGGGCUUACAAAGAAUAAGUCCCAGGGUCGAUUUGCUCAACUAUAAAGGCGGUGCUCCAGCAUGGCCGCAGUCAAAUGACUGAAACAAGUAAAAGAGUAAAGAGUAUUAUCAUCACCACCAUCACUACCUUCGUCAUCAUCAUCAUCAUCAUGGUCAUCUUCAUCCAUUAUCAUCAUCACCACCAUCACUACAGUCGUCAUCAUCAUCGUCAUGGUCAUCAUCAUCAUCAUCACUACCGUCGUCAUCAUCAUCAUCAUCAUCAUCAUCAUCACCAUCAUCAGAGAUGCUAAAUGCAGGCUAACUGUAGGAAAAGGCUUUGCUUUGGAGUUGCUGGUAUUUUGAUCAAAAUAAGACUGCAAAUACUUAUUGUUAAGUUGUAUUUAGUUCGCCAGUUUCACACACACACAUGCUCACACACACACACACAUGCUCUCAUACACACACACACACAUGCUCACACACACACAUGUUCACACACACACACACAUACACAAACACAUGCUCUCACACACACACACACACAUGCUCACACACACACACAUGCUCACACACACAUGCUCACACACACACAUGCUCACACACACAUGCACACACACACACAUGCUCACACACACAUGCUCACACACACACACAUGCUCACACACACAUGCUCACACACACAUGCUCACACACACACACACACACACACACACUCACACACACAUGCUCUCACACACACACAUGCGCACAUAAAUACACAUGUGAAAUCAAAAUAUUAAACUCUUUUGUUUUCAAAAUAUUAUCAUCCACUUAACAUUACACACACACACACACACACACACACACAGGUACACACACACACACAUACACAUGCAUACAUGCAUACACAUGCACACUUGCACACUCAUAUCACACCAGCAUAGAAAACGGCGGUUAAAGGAUGAUGAUGAUGAUGAUGCCGGUGCUGCUGCUGAUGGUGGUGGUGGAGGUGGUGGUGGUUGUGUUGGUGGUGGUGGUGGUGGUGGUGGUGGUGGUGAUGGUAGUAGUAGUAGUAGUAGUGAUAAUGAUGAUGGUGAUGAUGAUGAUGAUGAUGGUGGUGGUGAUGGUGGUGAUGUUGAUGAUGGUGGUGGUGGUGGUGGUGAUGGUAGUAGUAGUAGUAGUAGUGAUAAUGAUGAUGGUGAUGAUGAUGAUGAUGAUGGUGGUGGUGAUGGUGGUGAUGUUGAUGAUGGUGGUGGUGGUGGUGGUGAUGGUAGUAGUAGUAGUAGUAGUGAUAAUGAUGAUGGUGAUGAUGAUGAUGGUGAUGGUGAUGGUGGUGAUGUUGUUGAUGAUGGUGGUGGUGGUGGUGGUGAUGGUGGUAGUGGUGCUGGUGGUAGUGGUGGUAGUGGUAGUGAUAAUGAUGAUGAUGGUGAUGAUGAUGAUGAUGGUGGUGGUGAUGGUGAUGGUGGUGAUGUUGAUGGUGAUGGUGAGUGCGAUGAUGAUGAUGGUGGUGGUGAUGGUGAUGGUGGUGAUGUUGUUGAUGAUGAUGAUGAUACUGAUGAUGAAGAUGAUGAUGAUGAUGAUAUAUAUCUAUGAAUGCUUACCUUUUUUUUUUUCCUUACCCCUUUUUUUUUUAUUUUAGUCCAUUUCUCCAUGUUUGCCCUCUUUGAUACCAGCCUUCAUUUCCUUUUCCAAAUAAAGGAUAACAUAUUCUACAUGUCCUUGAAACAGGAUAUUGUUCAUGUGAAACUGUCAAUGACACCGAUUUCAUCACCCCAAGAAAUGUAAACAAACAUGCAUGUAUGCACACGCAUUCACACUUCCACACACACAUGCAUAUACACGUAUGUAUAUGCAUGCACAUGUACAAAUGUAUAUAAAUACACAUGCAUACGCAUGAGUGUACAUACAUAUAUAUAUAUAUUCUUUUCUACUCUAGGUACAAUGCCCAAAAUUUUUUUGGUGGUGGCAGUCAAUUAGAGUGACUCCAGUAUGCAACUGGUACUUAAUUUAUCUACCCCGAAAGGAUAAAAGGCAAGGUCGACCUUGGUAGAAUUUGAACUCGGAACAUAAAGACACAGACAUAUAUAUAUCUUAUAUUAUAUAAUAUUAUAUUAUAUUAUACUCUCUUUACUUGUUUCAGUCAUUUGACUGUGGCCAUGCUGGAGCACUACCUUUAGUUGAGCAAAUCGACCCCAGGACUUAUUCUUUGCAAGACUAGUACUUAUUCUAUCGGUCUCUUGUGCCAAACCGCUAAGUGAUGGGGACGUAAACACACCAGCAUCGGUUGUCAAACGAUGUUGGGGGAACAAACACAGACACACAAACACACACACACAUAUAUAUAUCUAUAUAUACAUAUAUACAACGGGCUUCUUUCAGUUUCCAUCAACCAAGUCCACUCACAAGGCUUUGGUCGGCCUGAGACUAUGGCAGAAGACACUUGCCGAAGGUGCCAUGCAGUGGGACUGAACCCAGAACCAUGUCAUUGGUAAACAAGCUACAUACCACACAGCCACUCCUGUGCCUAUAUAUUGCCAGUGGACCAUAUAUUCAAAAACAGAAGCAUACUCUAAAGAAUAGAGUAGUCUAAAAGACCUAGCACUUUGUGGAUGCAAAACCAUUGGUCACUCUAGCACCGGACAUAUAUCUAACUAUUGGUAAAUAUAUAUCUAUAUCUAUAUCUAUCUAUCUAUCUAUCUAUCUAUCUAUCUAUCUAUCUAUCUAUCUAUCUAUCUAUCUAUCUAUCUAUCUAUCUAUCUAUCUAUCUAUCUAUCUAUCUAUCUAUCUAUCUAUCUAUAUAUAUAUAUAUAUAUAUAUAUAUGUAUAUAUAUAUAUAUAUAUAUAUAUAUAUGUAAAAAUCUAUAUAAUACACACAUGUGUAUGCUAAUAGUUGAGAGUUUUUUUUUUUUCCAGCCUAAGGGAGGGAGAAUGAACAAUAACAAGGAAAUGUUUGGAUACUAAUUACUAGGGUCACUUAAUUGGAUGCUGUAGUUCCUUGUAGAACUGUCUCUGGCAAAAAUUUGGAAAGAUCAAAGGUGGAAAUUCUUUGAUCAUAGGCCUUGCUAGAUUUGGGCUACAAAACAAUACAUGCAUACAUACAUAUAUACAUAAAAUACAUACAUACAUGCAUACAUACAUAUAUAUAUAUAUAUAUAUAUAUAUAUAUAUAUAUAUAUAUAUAUAUACAUAUAUACAUAUAUACAUAUAGAUGUAUACACAUAUAAACCUAUAUAUAUAUAUAUAUAUAUAUAUAUAUAUAUAUAUAUAUAUAUAUAUAUAUAUAUAUGUAUAUAUGUAUAUAUAUAUAUAUAUAUCAAUGUAUAUAUAUGAAUAUAUAUAUAUAUACAUAUGAAUGUAGGUAU
rnacentral:lncRNA from 1 species